AAGACCUUAAACCUUGGGGUUUCCUUAAGAAAGAAAAAAACUUUACACGUGUGUGAAAACUGACAGCACAAAGCGCGCCUUUCUUCUUCUUCUUCUUCUCUCACGAUUGUCAUGAACUCUCCACCAGCAAAGCGACUUGACUCUGUUUCUGUUUCUGCACGAAGAAGGAAAACAUGAAAAUCAAAAGCGCCCAACGCAUUUGUACAUACCACCCACCAAAGGCACAAGUUGGACAAGGAGUGAUUGUAGAGUUGUAAAAUGAUGACAUAGAGACACAACAGGUUGGGUAGCGAGACGCCAGCAACUGUGAUUAAAGAUACUUACUCAGCGCUUGAGUUUUUCGACGACCAUCAGAGCGCCCAACACUCAGCUGGAAGGAAGACACAGCAGCUGAAGGGUCUUGACCCCAUGAUGCCACAACACCAGCUUUGCAGCAAUUGGCA